CAUGCAUGUCUAAGUAUAAGCGAAAAUAAAGUGAAACCGCAAAAGGCUCAUUAUAUCAGUUAUGGUUCCUUAGAUCGUAUCCACAAUUACUUGGAUAACUGUGGUAAUUCUAGAGCUAAUACAUGCAAUUAAAGAGAAACCAGUAAAAUGGGAUCUCUGCUUUUAUUAGAUUUAAACCAAUGGGGAUUGCUUCGGCAUUCUCAAUCAAAAUGGUUGAACUCUGGAUAAUUUGUUGAUCGCAUGGUCUUGUACCGGCGACGGGUCUUUCAAAUGUCUGCCCUAUCAACUAUUGAAGGUAGUGUCUUGGACUACCUUGGUUGCAACGGGUAACGGGGAAUCAGGGUUCGAUUCCGGAGAGGGAGCCUGAGAAACGGCUACCACAUCUAAGGAAGGCAGCAGGCGCGUAAAUUACCCACUCCCGGCACGGGGAGGUAGUGACGAAAAAUAACAAUACAAGACUCACAUCCGAGGCCUUGUAAUUGGAAUGAGUAGACUUUAAAUCCUUCUACAAGGAUCAAUUGGUGGGCAAGUCUGGUGCCAGCAGCCGCGGUAAUUCCAGCACCAAUAGCGUAUAUUAAAGUUGUUGCGGUUAAAACGUUCGUAGUUGAACUUGUGUUUCGUACGGGCAAUACCUAGGACUAGGUAACUAGGACGGUAUUUGUCUUAUCUUUCCAUAUUCUUUUAUAGGAUAUUGGAAAAAGUGCGUGAACGUAUUAUCGGCGUGUUUAUUAUUCUUUUUUUUUUUAUAAAAAAAUUGGAUAUAAUCACAUAAGCCCAUUUCAGUGCUCUUUACCGAGUGUUGUUGUGGGCCGAUACAAAUUACUUUGAACAAAUUAGAGUGCUUAAUGCAGGCUUGUAAUGCCUGAAUAUUUUGUGCAUGGAAUAAUGGAAUAGGACAUCUGUUCUACUUUCAUUGGUUUUUUAGACCAAGAUGUAAUGAUUAAUGGAAGCAGUUGGGGGCAUUAGUAUUACAACGCGAGAGGUGAAAUUCUUAGACCGUUGUAAGACUGACUAAAGCGAAAGCAUUUGCCAAAGAUGUUUUCAUU
rnacentral:rRNA from 1 species